rnacentral:rRNA from 1 species
AUGUUCAAGAUUAGCCAUGCAUGUCUCAGUAUAAGCUUCUAUACGGCGAAACUGCGAAUGGCUCAUUAAAACAGUUAUAGUUUAUUUGGUGGUCAGCAAUUACAUGGAUAACCGUGGUAAUUCUAGAGCUAAUACAUGCGCCCAAACCCGACUUCGUGGAAGGGUUGUGUUUAUUAGAUACAGAACCAACCCAGGCUCCGCCUGGCCUUGAGGUGAUUCAUAAUAACCGAACGAAUCGCAUGGCUAUGCCGGCGAUAGACCAUUCAAGUUUCUGACCUAUCAGCUAUCGUCGGUAGGGUAUUGGCCUACCGUGGCAAUGACGGGUAACGGAGAAUUAGGGUUCGAUUCCGGAGAGGGAGCCUGAGAAACGGCUACCACAUCUAAGGAAGGCAGCAGGCGCGCAAAUUACCCAAUCCUGACGCAGGGAGGUAGUGACAAGAAAUAACAAUACAGGGCAUACAUGUCUUGUAAUUGGAAUGAGUAAACUUUAAAUCACUUUA